AAUAGAUACCCAGGUAGUCCACGCCGUAAACGAUGAGUGCUAGGUGUUAGGGGGCCCACCCCUUAGUUGUCGAAGCUAACGCAUUAAGCACUCCGCCUGGGGAGUACGGUCGCAAGACUGAAACUCAAAGGAAUUGACGGGGGGCCCGCACAAGCAGUGGAGCAUGUGGUUUAAUUCGAAGCAACGCGAAGAACCUUACCAGGACUUGACAUCCCGCUGACCGGUCUAGAGAUAGACCUUCCCUUCGGGGCAGCGGUGACAGGUGGUGCAUGGUUGUCGUCAGCUCGUGUCGUGAGAUGUUGGGUUAAGUCCCGCAACGAGCGCAACCCCUAUUGACAGUUGCUAACAUUAAGUUGAGAACUCUGUCAAGACUGCUGUUGAUAAAACGGAGGAAGGUGGGGAUGAUGUCAAGUCAUCAUGGCCUUUAUGUUCAGGGCUACACACGUGCUACAAUGGUAGGUACAAAACGUCGCAAACUCGUAAGAGGGAGCUAAUCGCAGAAAGCCUAUCUCAGUUCGGA
rnacentral:rRNA from 1 species